UUAUCCUUGAGAUUCAGUUAAUAUUGUUUGAAAUGAUUAUGUGUGUGUUCAACUUUUUGUGACAUAGAGUGAUUAAAAUGGUAGUGUGAUUGUUAAAUUAUCUAAGAUGAAAUAUUUUGGUCAAUUUGGUCUAUCUAUUAUAUUUUUGACCUUGAAAGGAUGUGAUUUUGAACUAAGGAACGAGUAAAAAUGGUUGGAUAAACAAUACUAACACUAAUGUAAAAUAAGGCUUCAACGUCUCUCGUUCAACGUUAGAAUACAAAAAAAAACAACUUUAAAAAUUACCAAUGUGAUGGAAGAGCCUGAGGAGGUGACCGAUUAGCAACGCAGGUAAGGCUCCUUGAAGCUUCUCCGACGAGUAAAGAUGUAGUGGAAUAAUUAGGAACUCGAGAUCGAAGAGGAAACCGAGAGCGAACACAAGGAAAACCCUAAGAUAAAGAAGGAAACCCUAAAAGUGGGGAGAGACUCGAAUCAGACUGAUUAAACAGUGGAAAUAUGGGUUUGAUCGGUGUAAAAGUGUUUAAAGGAUAGAAAAUGGUUUUAAUCAGCUAAAUUUGAAGGAAAAUGGAAAAGGAUGAAGGAAACCCUAGCGGAGGCCAUAGAUCAAAGAAGGAAUCGGUGUAAUGGAAGGAAAUGGUGAUAAAAAUGGAGGAGAAACAAAGAAGAUGUGCAAAUUUGUGAAGGAAGGAUGCUUACGGAUGAUGCGAGCUCUCAAAGAAGACGAACGCUCCCAUGGACGUCGAAGGCGAGAACGAGAAUGUAGUUUCUGGGAGAUGGAAGGAAAGCCAAAUGAAGAUAUGUGUGGCUGAUACACUGAAUGUUGACACAAUGAAGCGCAAACGCGUGUAAGGACGUGGCGGUGGAGGAUGCGGCGUGGAGGAAAGAGAUUGUAUGGAAGCACAGUGAAGAAAUGGAAAUGAAAUGGAAGUAGUGUGCUUGGAAGGUGGCUAGAGGCGGAUCUCUUUGACUCUCUAACUUGACUUUCAAGAGAGAAUUGUGUCUGGAUUUUCUCUACAGAAAUCACAAUUCAAUAUUCUCAAAAGUGUUUCAUACAAUGGUGGAGAUAGGUAUUUAUAAGGCCCAUGCUUCCUACAAGCUAAUAAUACAAUACACUGAAAAAUGUAAAAUACAAAAAGACAAAGGGUUCUUAGGUGUAUUCCAUCACAAUGGCAUUUUUGUAAAUAAACGCUCAAUUUAGAUGUCAGAAUUUAUAUGCUCAUUAGACGUCGAAAUUCUCAUGUUUCAAUGUCAUAUUGGGUAAAUUUCAUGAAAAUGUUGAAGUACCUGAAAAAUACUAAAAAGGGAGGGAGCGGUGGGGGGAGGGGGGUUGAAUAAUGUUAAUGGAAAAACUUUUUUCCAAUCUACCUUGUAGAAAAAGAUAGGCCAAGUGUCUCAACCAAGAGGGGGGGUGAACUAGUUCCCUUUAUAAAAAUAUGUUCUUUUAAAAUCUUUUCAAAGUCUUUUGAGAUUUCUUGGAAUGUAAUCAAUAAAGAAUAAAAGCAAUGUGAAAGCAAUGUAAAAGUGUAGGGAAAGAGAGAUUAACACUACAAUUUAUACUGGUUCGGCCAACCUAUCUACAUCCAGUCUUCUUUCAAUCAACCUUAGAUUGAAAGGAUUUCACUAUUUUGAUUGGGUUCUUACAAGCAAGACAUACAGAGACAACCUUCCUAAUCUAGUCUCCUCUCUAAUUCCAAAUCCAAUAUAGUAACCCAGAAAGAACAACUACUUUUCUGUCAACUCUUAGAGAUACCCCACUCUAAGUCACUAGAACUUCU
rnacentral:lncRNA from 1 species